rnacentral:rRNA from 1 species
CCUACGGGAGGCAGCAGUGGGGAAUAUUGCGCAAUGGGCGGAAGCCUGACGCAGCAACGCCGCGUGAGGGAUGACGGCCUUCGGGUUGUAAACCUCUUUCAGCGCUGACGAAGCUCUAUGACGUUGUUGUGGGGUGACGGUAGGCGCAGAAGAAGCACCGGCUAACUACGUGCCAGCAGCCGCGGUAAUACGUAGGGUGCGAGCGUUGUCCGGAAUUAUUGGGCGUAAAGGGCUCGUAGGCGGCUUGUCGCGUCUGCUGUGAAAGCCCGGGGCUUAACCCCGGGUCUGCAGUGGAUACGGGCAGGCUAGAGUCCGGCAGGGGAGACUGGAAUUCCUGGUGUAGCGGUGGAAUGCGCAGAUAUCAGGAGGAACACCGGUGGCGAAGGCGGGUCUCUGGGCCGGUACUGACGCUGAGGAGCGAAAGCGUGGGGAGCGAACAGGAUUAGAUACCCUGGUAGUCCACGCCGUAAACGUUGGGCGCUAGGUGUGGGUUCCCUUCCACGGGGUCCGUGCCGUAGCUAACGCAUUAAGCGCCCCGCCUGGGGAGUACGGCCGCAAGGCUAAAACUCAAAGGAAUUGACGGGGGCCCGCACAAGCGGCGGAGCAUGCGGAUUAAUUCGAUGCAACGCGAAGAACCUUAC